rnacentral:rRNA from 1 species
CCUACGGGGGGCUGCAGUGAGGAAUAUUGGUCAAUGGGCGGAAGCCUGAACCAGCCAUGCCGCGUGCAGGAAGACGGCCCUACGGGUUGUAAACUGCUUUUCCGGGGGAAGAAUAAGGCCGACGUGUCGGCCGAUGCCGGUACCCCGGGAAUAAGGAUCGGCUAACUCCGUGCCAGCAGCCGCGGUAAUACGGAGGAUCCGAGCGUUAUCCGGAUUUACGUGGUUUAAAGGGUGCGUAGGCGGGCGCUUAAAGGCGGGGGCUCAACCUUCGAACGGCCGUUGAUACUGGGCGCGUUGGAUUCGGGCGAGGCGGGCGGAAUGCGACAUGUAGCGGUGAAAUGCUUAGAUAUGUCGCAGAACGCCGAUUGCGAAGGCAGCUCGCCGGGCCGAUAUUGACGCUGAGGCACGAAAGCGUGGGGAUCGAACAGGAUUAGAUACCCCUGUAGUC